rnacentral:rRNA from 1 species
UACGUAGGGGGCAAGCGUUGUCCGGAUUUAUUGGGCGUAAAGAGCUCGUAGGCGGUUUGGUAAGUCGGGCGUGAAAUUUCGAGGCUCAACCUCGAAACGCCACUCGAUACUGCCAUGACUGGAGUCCGGUAGAGGAGUGCGGAAUUCCUGGUGUAGCGGUGAAAUGCGCAGAUAUCAGGAGGAACACCAACGGCGAAGGCAGCACUCUGGGCCGGUACUGACGCUGAGGAGCGAAAGCGUGGGGAGCAAACAGG